UAAGGAAUAUUGGUCAAUGGACGCAAGUCUGAACCAGCCAUGCCGCGUGAAGGAUGAAGGUCCUCUGGAUUGUAAACUUCUUUUAUCUGGGACGAAAACGGGAUUUUUAUCUCAAUUGACGGUACCAGAGGAAUAAGCACCGGCUAACUCCGUGCCAGCAGCCGCGGUAAUACGGAGGGAGCGAGCGUUAUCCGGAUUUACUGGGUUUAAAGGGUGCGUAGGUGGGCUUAUAAGUCAGUGGUGAAAUCUCCGAGCUUAACUUGGAAACUGCCGUUGAUACUAUAGGUCUUGAAUUAUCUGGAGGUAAGCGGAAUAUGUCAUGUAGCGGUGAAAUGCUUAGAUAUGACAUAGAACACCAAUUGCGAAGGCAGCUUACUACAUAUAAAUUGACGCUAAGGCACGAAAGCGUGGUGAUCAAACA
rnacentral:rRNA from 1 species